CGCCGCGCUAGAGGCCAGGCGGGCCAGAGGCAGCCGCGUUUCCCCGAGCUCCCCGCAAAUGGAGGUGAACACCGACGACAUGGAGUCGUUGUCCGAUGAUUCCGGUUGGUCGUCAUCGGACGAUUCAGACAUUGAGGAGUUGCUAUGGUGUCCAAGAAGGACAUGGAUGAAGACCAAUUGAUAUGGUGGAAGGAAGAUGAUGAUUGUGUGAUAUAAACUAUUAAACCAUGCAUCAAUGAUCUUCAUUUCCGUGUUUGUUUGAAGGUUGAUUGUGUUUUUCUAGUGAAAAUUGUGAUAUGUCAAAUGACAGUUUUAAGGGUUGGGGUUGGGGCAAAGACUAGAACCCUCAAACCC